UUGCAAUUUGAUGAAAUUAAUGAGAAAUGCCACUCUGUUGUGAACAAUUGCAAGGUGGUUUGGAGAUUUGUCCAUGUUAUUUUGAGAAUGUCAUUUGUUUUAGGAAAUGAGCCAAACCAAUGGAGAAAAACUGUAACAUAUGCAACCUACUAUUGGAAUAAAAGCACACUUAGUAAUCUAACAUAAGAAAAACUAUUCAAAUAAAUAAUAGCAAGAGAAUGUAGUAGGAACAAAUUGUAAGUACCAAAUAUAAGGACAGAGCAUCCAGCUGGGUGACGUGAUCCAUUUCAACAGAAGCAUCAAUGAUGGCAAUGAAGGGGGAGGGCCAGUUAGAGGAGUUGAAGUGCUGCUAAGAUGUUUCGUCAAGGUUGUAUGGGACCCAAUACACUGGACAGCUCUUCCUGGUGUUAUUAAAAUAAUGCACUUGUGGUUUAGUAUUAUUUUUCAGAAUGAGGAACAUAGGAGAACAAUUAGUCAGAGGAAGUGAAGAGCAGUGCUGCUUCUCAGAUGGCUGACAAACGUAAGACAGACAGGGAAGCCAACAGACUGCUGAGAGAAGAUGCAGCUUGCUGUCUUUGUUGUGCUUUUCUGUUUAAAUACUCAUUUUGGAAGGGGACAGCAAAGAAUCAACCGUUCCGGACAACUGUUAUUCCAGUUAAUUUUCCACCCCUUUUAUAACAAUUAUGAAAAGUCCUGUUGUAAAUUAAACCACAGGCAAUGUCAAACAUUUGUGAACAACAGAGGAUAUGUUGAUACAUUUUAUAAAGAAAGACUAUCAACCCUAGAGUUCAAUGGAGGAUUUGAAAUAAGGAUUUGGAAUUUAUAUCCGUUAGAUACAGGAAUUUACAGGUGCAUGGUACACGGGACACCAGCUUACAUUUACCGAGACUUUUCCGUUGAAGUGUCAGGUACACAACAGAGUCCAUCUGAAUCUACAACUACCCACAGAACCAGCAAAGACACUUCUACUACUAUUAUACAGCAUCAAGCAUCUACCAGCUCAAGAUCCCUGAAAAGCAUGUGGAUAACACUGACCAUUGUAAUGACUGUUUUAAUGCUGCUUGUCAUCUUAAUAACCUCUAUGGCGUAUCACAGGGCAAAAAAUGAAUGUGGAACUGAGGCAUGUGAUAAUCGUCCUCACAUCCUCCAAGAAUCCACCAUUGAAGAUCUGAACACAAUUGUCUACACGACAGUUGACUUCAAGAACCCUGAGGAUCAUUCCGUAAUCUACGUCAACUCACAGAUUCCUCCACCAUCAAAGAACAAUUAUGAGAGUGAUAAUUACUAUAAUUCCAGGGAAAUGGUGCAAUACUCCACUCUAGUUUUGCAGACGUAAUAUACUAAACUAUGGCGUUCUCAUUCCAUAGUAUUUUUUUUUUUGUAAUCUAGAAGCUGAUUAAGACCGAUUCCAGUUGUCUCCACUAAUGAUUUCAGUACUUGCAUGGAUAGUCACUUUUAGUCAAACCACACAGAACAAAGCUAUCAUUCUGCUAAUAGAAUUUUGGUUCCUGUAACACACCAUAUUUUCUGGGACGGACCCUAGGAGGGUGUGACUAUCAAUGGGCUGGUGAGACUUAAUUAUAAAUGAUACAAGCGAAAACAGAAACUCAAUGAACCUUGAGGGGUCAAACAAGAAGUGAGGAGGAACUAAACAGAGCGACUGGAAUGACCCUAUGACACAGGCAAGAACAGUCGGUUCCAAUAAUAUUUAAAGUUGAACUACACACUACCAUAAAUGACAACCUCAAUGAAAGAUAUGGGGAAGAAGGCAAGAGCAGGAACAUAUAUACACAGAUCAUGAUUAACAAACCAGAGACAGGUGAUUGGCACAUUAAGCAGGGAACAAUUAUGUGAUUACAAGAUGGCCAAGUGACCUCUGCUGGCAAAACCAGGACAUGACAGGUUGACAAGACAGGUCCUGACACCUUUCUCCAUUCAGUCCACAGUUUCUUAGUCGCAGGCGGUGCAGGAAUUAAUGCUCAAAAACCAUCUAUUAAUAUUUCUUUAUAAUUUGCUUUAAUCCAAAGUUAUCUAUUUCAUAGGAUUUUGUCUUCAAACAGACAAUUGAGAAUGUGUAAUUAGCUGGCACAUAAUCAUUUUUUAUGAAGGAUUUAAGAAAAAUGCUAAUUUGUAUAUCCUGGCAGAAGAUGAACAAUAUAAUGUCAUCUUAAUUUAACCAUUAGCCAUCGAUUGUUUGUGCUUUUGUUUGUAUGAACUCCACUUGGAGAUUACAUGCUUUUAGUAUGUGUACUAUGUCGUAUCACCUUUAAAGAUACCUGCGUAUUUUGAAACUAAACAUUUGAUUCAAUGUUAUGGGGCUCUGAGUGUCAUUUUGUAAUGGAUAGAGCAAGGGCAGCCUUUAGGCAUUUUAAGUGGUAACUCACACCUUAAUGAAAUGAUGAUAUAAUUUCUGUGUUUGGCUUUACACAUUUAAUAUUAAUACUGCAUACAUUUGUAAUUUUGUAUUUUGUGAAGAUCUCUACAUGAAAAUGAAAUUCUGAUUAGUGCACUUUAUGGAACUGGACCUAUUGUUUUUGUAUAUUUCGUUUAGCUUUGAUGUAAAUAAAGAAGUCAAUGAAUGCGUCAUAA